CAUCAUCUGCUUCUUUAAUCUAGAUCUCCCCAAGACUGGGGGGGGGGACAAAGAAUGCAAAUGUCUUCUGCAAUCAGAUCAGCUCUCUCUUGUAGCUGCGGCCGGGGAGCUCACUCAGGGACUUCUGCCCAGAGACACAGAGGGACCCUGUGCCUCCAGUGUGAGAAAGAGCCACCUCCCCAGCUGCCCUCCCUGGCUUGGUGCUCCUGCCCAAGGGAAGGGACCAGCGCUGUCAACACCUCCUAAGCAUCAGCUACCGCCUGGGGCAGUUCCCGUGUGGUGUGUCACUACAACUCUCAAGUCAGGAAGUACACCACUGUCAUGCCAUUUUACAGAUUGGAGAACUGAGCCUGGAGCAGAGGCCUUAGGGCUUGAGGUGAGGACCUUGGCAUGCCACCGAAGGUCACAAGGCCCAGAUGUCCUCAGGGCCUGAGGCUUCCCUAGAGCUUGAAUACAAGCCAGGCAUGACCCAGCCAGGGUUCUCCAGGCCCAGGCAGGGCCCCUCCCUCUCUCUGUCCUGCGCUCACAGGCCCUGGAGCCCAUCUACUGCAGGGACACCUGAGCUUGCUUUUCUUUUGUACAAACUGAACUCUUUAAUCCAUGUGGAAUUUAUUUUUUGCCAGGGGUGAUAGAUACGCUUCUAAUUUUAUUUUAUGAUUUGAAUAGUCACUUGAGUCAACAUCAUUGAAGAAUAACUUAUUUCUUCUCCAACCUGAUUGGAAAUACCAAAAUAAACACAUUCUCAAUUAUUAACUAA